GACGAACGCUGGCGGCGUGCUUAACACAUGCAAGUCGAACGGAAAGGCCCUGCUUUUGUGGGGUGCUCGAGUGGCGAACGGGUGAGUAACACGUGAGUAACCUGCCCUUGACUUUGGGAUAACUUCAGGAAACUGGGGCUAAUACCGGAUAGGAGCUCCUGCUGCAUGGUGGGGGUUGGAAAGUUUCGGCGGUUGGGGAUGGACUCGCGGCUUAUCAGCUUGUUGGUGGGGUAGUGGCUUACCAAGGCUUUGACGGGUAGCCGGCCUGAGAGGGUGACCGGCAACAUGGGAACGAGGAUACGGCCCGGACUCCUACGGGAGGAAGCAGGGGGGAAUAUUGCACAAUGGGCGGAGGCCGAAUGCAGAAACGCCGCGUGGGGGAUGACGGCGUUCGGGUGGUAAACCGCUUUCGCCUGUGGCGAAGCGUGGGUGACGGUAAUGGGAAAAGAAGCACCGGCUACCUACGG
rnacentral:rRNA from 1 species